rnacentral:rRNA from 1 species
GUUGAUGAUCGGUGCUUGCACCGAGAUUCAACAUGGAACGAGUGGCGGACGGGUGAGUAACACGUGGGUAACCUGCCCUUAAGUGGGGGAUAACAUUUGGAAACAGAUGCUAAUACCGCAUAGAUCCAAGAACCGCAKGGUUCUUGGCUGAAAGAUGGCGUAAGCUAUCGCUUUUGGAUGGACCCGCGGCGUAUUAGCUAGUUGGUGAGGUAAUGGCUCACCAAGGCGAUGAUACGUAGCCKAACUGAGAGGUUGAUCGGMCACAUUGGGACUGAGACACGGCCCAAACUCCUACGGGAGGCAGCAGUAGGGAAUCUUCCACAAUGGACGCAAGUCUGAUGGAGCAACGCCGCGUGAGUGAAGAAGGCUUUCGGGUCGUAAAACUCUGUUGUUGGAGAAGAAUGGUCGGCAGAGUAACUGUUGUCGGCGUGACGGUAUCCAACCAGAAAGCCACGGCUAACUACGUGCCAGCAGCCGCGGUAAUACGUAGGUGGCAAGCGUUAUCCGGAUUUAUUGGGCGUAAAGCGAGCGCAGGCGGUUUUUUAAGUCUGAUGUGAAAGCCCUCGGCUUAACCGAGGAAGCGCAUCGGAAACUGGGAAACUUGAGUGCAGAAGAGGACAGUGGAACUCCAUGUGUAGCGGUGAAAUGCGUAGAUAUAUGGAAGAACACCAGUGGCGAAGGCGGCUGUCUGGUCUGUAACUGACGCUGAGGCUCGAAAGCAUGGGUAGCGAACAGGAUUAGAUACCCUGGUAGUCCAUGCCGUAAACGAUGAAUGCUAGGUGUUGGAGGGUUUCCGCCCUUCAGUGCCGCAGCUAACGCAUUAAGCAUUCCGCCUGGGGAGUACGACCGCAAGGUUGAAACUCAAAGGAAUUGACGGGGGCCCGCACAAGCGGUGGAGCAUGUGGUUUAAUUCGAAGCAACGCGAAGAACCUUACCAGGUCUUGACAUCUUUUGAUCACCUGAGAGAUCAGGUUUCCCCUUCGGGGGCAAAAUGACAGGUGGUGCAUGGUUGUCGUCAGCUCGUGU